GAUAUACCUGUUUUACCCUUAUAGAAUCUGUUUUUUAAUCACGUUUGUACGCAUUCUCUCUCCACUCCCGUGCAAACCCUAGUCUUCUCUUUCUCGAUGUUUUCUCUCUCGUUAGGCAAACCGCCGCUCUGUUCCCCUCUUCUUCCGCCACUGUCAUCGCCGCCGUCAAAUCAGAUGACGAGCAAAGCGAGACCAACGGCACCCUUGACAUGUCAGCCAAAAGCGCAACCGCGACGAGGACGGGAAGAGAGACUUCGACGGCGGCAACGACGGAAGCCCUGCUCGGGGGGCGGCCGUGGAGGGUCUAGGGAAUUGGUGCUGCAAAUUGAAAUCGAUUUGCUGUUAUUAUUACUUCAUCCUCUUUCCCUUUCUUCUCCAUCUCCAAACUAAUUAUGUCAAGCCAGCAAAAGCAAGCAAAAAAUAAUUAUGGUUUUCUUCUACACUUGGAGUCCCUCAACAGAUGGUCAGUAAAUUGGUGCUGCAAAUUGAAAUCUCUAGUGUGAAAAUGGAACGGCGGCAGUGCCAUCACCAGAAAGAAAAUGUAUAGUUGCGUGUAUAAAAGAAAAGGAAAGAAUGAUGG